GAUCCUGGCUCAGGACGAACGCUGGCGGCGUGCUUAACACAUGCAAGUCGAACGAGAAUCUGCGGAAAGAGGAUUCGUCCAAUUGAAGCAGAGGACAGUGGCGGGCGGGUGAGUAACGCGUGAGGAACCUGCCUUUCAGAGGGGGACAACAGUUGGAAACGACUGCUAAUACCGCAUAACAUAUAGAUGUCGCAUGGCAUUUAUAUCAAAGAUUUAUCGCUGAAAGAUGG
rnacentral:rRNA from 1 species